UACAGAGGUCUCGAGCGUUAGGCGGAAUCACUGGGCUUAAAGCGCGUGUAGGCGGAUCGUUAAGUGCCUUGUGAAAUCCCACGGCUUAACCGUGGAACUGCUUGGCAUACUGGCGAUCUUGAGCCAUCUAGGGGCCUGCGGAACAAACGGUGGAGCGGUGAAAUGCGUAGAUAUCGGAAGGAACACCAGUGGCGAAAGCGGCUUCCUGGUCCAGCACCGACGUUCAGGCACGAAAGCGUGGGGAGCAAACAGG
rnacentral:rRNA from 1 species